rnacentral:tRNA from 1 species
AGCUCAGUUGGUUAGAGCGCUACCUUGACAUGGUAGAGGUCGGCGGUUCGAAUCCGCCUGGUCCUACCA